rnacentral:rRNA from 1 species
UACGAAGGGUGCAAGCGUUACUCGGAAUUACUGGGCGUAAAGCGUGCGUAGGCGGUUUGUUAAGUCUGUCGUGAAAGACCUGGGCUCAACCUGGGAAUGGCGAUGGAUACUGGCAAGCUAGAGUACGGUAGAGGAUGGUGGAAUUCCCGGUGUAGCGGUGAAAUGCGUAGAGAUCGGGAGGAACACCCGUGGCGAAGGCGGCCAUCUGGACCAGUACUGACGCUGAGGCACGAAAGCGUGGGGAGCAAACAGG